rnacentral:tRNA from 1 species
AAAGAAUUAGUUUAAUUUAAACCAUUAAAUUGUCAAUUUAAAAAUAUUUUAUUUAAUAAAUAUUCUUUA